rnacentral:rRNA from 1 species
UGAAGAGGAGCUUGCUCCUUGGAUUCAGCGGCGGACGGGUGAGUAACACGUGGGCAACCUGCCUGUAAGACUGGGAUAACUCCGGGAAACCGGGGCUAAUACCGGAUAACUUCUUUUCUCGCAUGGGAAGAGGUUGAAAGACGGUUUUGCUGUCACUUACAGAUGGGCCCGCGGCGCAUUAGCUAGUUGGUGGGGUAACGGCCUACCAAGGCGACGAUGCGUAGCCGACCUGAGAGGGUGAUCGGCCACACUGGGACUGAGACACGGCCCAGACUCCUACGGGAGGCAGCAGUAGGGAAUCUUCCGCAAUGGACGAAAGUCUGACGGAGCAACGCCGCGUGAGUGACGAAGGCCUUCGGGUCGUAAAACUCUGUUAUCAGGGAAGAACAAGCAUCAUUUAACUGAUGGUGCCUUGACGGUACCUGACCAGAAAGCCACGGCUAACUACGUGCCAGCAGCCGCGGUAAUACGUAGGUGGCAAGCGUUGUCCGGAAUUAUUGGGCGUAAAGCGCGCGCAGGCGGCUUCUUAAGUCUGAUGUGAAAGCCCACGGCUCACCCGUGGAGGGUCAUUGGAAACUGGAGGCUUGAGUGCAGAGAGAGAGCGAUUC